UCACUUUUAGGCUAUGUAACUGUCUCAAAGACAUGUUUUAAUUGAAAUGUCUAUUUUGUAUAUUUGUAUGUGGAAGUUCAUGAAUAUUUGAGUUCAUACAGCCAUUUAAAAAUAGGAAAAACAUGUGAAGAUGUUAAAAGGGGUAACAUUAAAAGGGGUAAAAUUCACAAAAAUGUCUUUAAUUUAAAUACUGUUAAAAAUGUUGUGCUUUUAUGUAAGGUUUAUUUCAACGAACAACAGAGAGUAAUGGGAAAUGGGUCACAUGAACAUAGUUAAGAUAAGGGCAUAACCAUGGCAUUAUGGGUAAGAGACAAUGUGGAGGCAGAGCAGAGCAUGCAGAGGAACGAAAUAAAGCUCCAAAAUGACCGUAUUCUGCACUUGGUUCAAGAGGCGCACACGUUUUCACGGUGUCUGCUGACGAAGGAGAGAGUUACGAUAAAAUAAAUCUUCAGAAGACA